GGUUGGUUGGUGGAUGAUUGGUAUACACUGUCGAUUUCUGAUAACAACAACCCGGGUUCGAAUCCCGCAUUGGGCA